ACUCCUACGGGAGGCAGCAGUGGGGAAUACUGCACAAGUAGGGGCAACCCUGAUGCAGCCAUGCCGCGUGUGUGAAGAAGGGCCUUCGGGUUGAUAAAGCACUUUCAGUAGGGAGGAAGGUAGUGUAGUUAACACCUGCAUUAUUUGACGUUACCUACAGAAGAAGCACCGGCUAACUCCGUGCCAGCAGCCGCGGUAAUACGGAGGGUGCGAGCGUUAAUCGGAAUUACUGGGCGUAAAGCGCAUGUAGGCGGCCUGUUAAGUCAGAUGUGAAAGCCCGGGGCUUAACCUCGGAAUUGCAUUUGAAACUGGCAGGCUAGAGUCUUGUAGAGGGGGGUAGAAUUUCAGGUGUAGCGGUGAAAUGCGUAGAGAUCUGAAGGAAUACCAGUGGCGAAGGNGGCCCCCCUGGACAAAGACUGACGCUCAGAUGCGAAAGCGUGGGGAGCAAACAGGAUUAGAUACCCUGGUAGGAUAG
rnacentral:rRNA from 1 species